GCAGCAGGCCAGGCGAUCGCCUCCCGUCAGCUCUGACGGGGGGAGGAAAGUCCGGGCUUUCCAGGGCAGGGUGCCUGAUAACUUCAGGGCGGAGUGAUCCGAAGGAAAGUGCCACAGAAAACAUACAGCCCGUGGAGGUUGCAAUACUCCCGCGAGCGAAGGUGAAAAGGUGGUGUAAGAGACCACCGCUCCGGAGGUGACUUCGGAGGCACGGCAAACCCCACCCGAAAGCAAGGCCAAAUAGAGGAGAAGAGGUAGCCCGCCUCGCUUUUUACUCCUGGGUAGGCCGCUUGAGCCCGAAGGUGACUCCGGGCCCAGAUAGAUGGUCGCUAGACACAGAACCCGGCUUACGGCCUGCUGCGUUU
rnacentral:RNase_P_RNA from 1 species